ACGGCUGCUGACCGGGGUGCUGCGGCUCGUGCGGCUGCCGGCCGUACCCGGUCUGGUCCUGCGGGUCGUACGGGAUCUGAUUCUGCUGGUCGUAC
rnacentral:tRNA from 1 species